GGUUGUGAAAGGCGGUCAGCCCCAAGGGGUUUGUACCAGCAGUUCGUAGCCAUCUUCGGAGAAUGCGUGUCUGUCAUUCAGUUGAUGGGCACGAGGACUCUGUCAUUUACUGUGAGCAAAAUAGAGUGUUCAAAGCAGGCAUUAUGCCAUUGAAUACAUUAGCAUGGAAUAAUAAGAUAAGACCUUGGUCUAUUUUGUUGGUUUGACUCCAAGGUA
rnacentral:rRNA from 1 species